rnacentral:tRNA from 1 species
GGGCUUGUAGAGUAGUCGGGUUAUCUCAUUUGGGAAACAAACUAAUAUGAUGAUUGGGAACAUGAUUCUGAAGGGUUUAAAGUACCAAGAGAACGUUGGUUCGAAUCCAACCAAGCCCA